AGUGGCGAACGGGUGAGUAACGCGUGAGUAUCUGCCCUUAGGAGGUGGACAACAGUUGGAAACGACUGCUAAUACCCCAUAUGUCUACGGAUGAAAGAUUUUAUCGCCUGAGGAUGAGUUCGCGUCUGAUUAGCUAGUUGGUGAGGUAAAGGCUCACCAAGGCGACGAUCAGUAGCUGGUCUGAGAGGAUGAUCAGCCACACUGGGACUGAGACACGGCCCAGACUCCUACGGGAGGCAGCAGUGGGGAAUUUUCCGCAAUGGGGGCAACCCUGACGGAGCAAUACCGCGUGCGGGAGGACGGCCUGUGGGUUGUAAACCGCUUUUCUCAGGGAAGAAGACCUGACGGUACCUGAGGAAUCAGCAUCGGCUAACUCCGUGCCAGCAGCCGCGGUAAUACGGAGGAUGCAAGCGUUAUCCGGAAUUAUUGGGCGUAAAGCGUCCGUAGGUGGUUAAUCAAGUCUGCUGUUAAAGAGCGGAGCUCAACUCCGUUUAAGCGGUGGAAACUGGUUGACUAGAGAGUGGUAGGGGUAGAGGGAAUUCCCAGUGUAGCGGUGAAAUGCGUAGAUAUUGGGAAGAACACCGGUGGCGAAAGCGCUCUACUGGGCCACAUCUGACACUGAUGGACGAAGCUAGGGGAGCGAAAGGGAUUAGAUACCCC
rnacentral:rRNA from 1 species